AACGAACGCUGGCGGCAUGCCUAACACAUGCAAGUCGAACGAGACCUUCGGGUCUAGUGGCGCACGGGUGCGUAACGCGUGGGAACCUGCCCUUAGGUUCGGAAUAACUCCCCGAAAGGGGUGCUAAUACCGGAUAAUGUCUUCGGACCAAAGAUUUAUCGCCUUUGGAUGGGCCCGCGUUGGAUUAGCUAGUUGGUAGGGUAAAAGCCUACCAAGGCGACGAUCCAUAGCUGGUCUGAGAGGAUGAUCAGCCACAUUGGGACUGAGAUACGGCCCAGACUCCUACGGGAGGCAGCAGUGGGGAAUAUUGCACAAUGGGCGGAAGCCUGAUGCAGCAACGCCGCGUGCGGGAUGACGGCCUUCGGGUUGUAAACCGCUUUCGCCUGUGACGAAGCGUGAGUGACGGUAAUGGGUAAAGAAGCACCGGCUAACUACGUG
rnacentral:rRNA from 1 species